UAGAUUCACAAAGGAAUAUAAAAAUAUAAACUAUAACUCCUAAUUAUUUUUGUACAAUUUUUAGUGAAUUUAUAAAUUUAGAACAGGGGAUUCAGAAAUCCCUCUGACCCUAUCUCACUAAAAUUCAAAUAUCUCUUAAUAUACACUUCUUUUUCUUACUCUGUUUCUUUCAUAUGAAAAUAGACUCAAUAAGUUUUAAUUUUAUAUUUUAUUCAUCACCUAAUUCCAUUUCUACUAUUCUUGGUGAUUUUUCAAGAUCACAUCACUACUGCUGUUUAAUACUGUUUUAAUGUUAAUUUCACUUUUUAGUGAUUUCUUUGUAUUAACUACCAUUUAGGCAUACAUAACACCGAAACAUGUUCUUCAUUAGCCAUUUCAAUAGCUAAUAAUUAUCAAAUAUUUACAUACCAUUCUUUAGCCAUAUCAUAAGGAUAUACACACAAAAUGGCUAAGUCCCUAUACAUGCCAUAAACUAGAACGUUUGUAAACGAAGAUACCCAUUUGGUAACUUGAUAGUCGAUAGUGUGAAGUGAUCUCCGACAACCUCUAUCCCAAGCUUGCUUUUAAGUACUCUAAAACAUGGGAAAGUGAAAGAAGUAAGCUUAUAAAGCUUAGUAAUUUCACAUGUAAAAUAAUAAGCAUUAGCAAUCAAUUUAGCUUACUACUAUGCUGUCAUAAUUUGCUUAAAUAAUGUUUAGUUCUUACUUUCCCAUCUAACUCAUCGGUAACCUUACCAAAGGCUCAGAAUACAAAAGGCACCUUACUUAAUAGCUUGCUUACAUACCUGCGACAUCUCACUUAACACAUGAGUACUCUUUCAUAAUAUAGGCAUAUUGCCAAUCAUGUCAUAAAAUGUCACAAGCAUAACUGAAAACUCAUCACUUACUUAAUACUUGAUAAUCUCAAUUACUUACAAUCUCAAUAUUAAAUAAGCCUUUAAUGCAUACCUGUACUCUUUCUUCAUGUUCUCACCUUGUCGUUUCUUUGACUUACUCUUUGAAUUACUCGAGAACCUUUUCCUUUUUGAACUUACCAUUGCCAUGUCUUGACAUGGUCUUACGUGGUAUCCUUGCCUUAUGAACUCACUAAUGCCAUGCCUUGGCAUGGUCUUACAUGGGACCUUUGCCUUAUAGUAACUCAUCAAUGCCAUGUCUUGACAUGGUCUUAUAUAAUUUCCUUGACUUAUAGAACUUAUCAAUGCCAUGCCUUGGCAUGGUCUUACAUGAUUUUCUUGCCUUAUAGAACUUAUCAAUGCCAUGCCUUGGCAUGGUCUUACAUGACUUAUCAAUGCCUUGUCAAGUCAUAGCUGAAACAUACUUGCUCAAAUUCUCAAGGUUAGUCGCAUAACUCAAUAAUAACAAUACUAAUAACAAUAAUUGCAUAAUAAUAAAAUGCUACUCAACUUACAUACUUACAUUCUCAAUCUCAUCAUAUCAUCAACUUAACUUAUUCUCAUCAAACUAUGCUAGUCAAUACUUUCUUGUUAUCAUACAAAGCCAUAAUGCAAAAUAUGGUCUUACAUAUAAAUUAUACAAGUUCUCUUUCCAAUAUUAAAUUAUUAUUGAACAUUAAUCAUUAUAUCUGAAACUCAAUACUAAAGUAUUUAUGGCAAAAAUAUCAAUUUAUCAUUCAAAUAUGCAUAAUUAAAUGCUUAUUAAACAUAUGAACUUACCUCGAUACCAAAACGACCAUUUUACCAACUUUCUCGAUUUUCGAUUUUUCUCUCGUUCUAGGUCCAAAUCUCACUUUCUGGGAUCUAAAACAUCAUAUUUCACUAUUUAAUUAAUUUACUAUUCAAAACAUUCCCUAACUCAAACUUUGGCAAAAUUACAAUUUUGUCCCUAAACCUUUGCAGAAUUAUGAUUCUCCCUAGGCUCGAAAAUUAAAAUUUAUCCAUUUUUAUUAUGUUUUAUGACACGCUGAACAUUUUUACCUUCUAUGGAAACAUCAAAUUCCCUCUAUAAUGUACUUAUGAACAUUAGGCAUUUUUACCGAUUAUGUCGUUUUACUCGUUUUCACUUAAAAUUGCUUAGCAAAGGUUGUUUAACAUAAUUUCAAGCUUCAUAUUCUACCAUAAAACAUCAAAAUAAACACAUUUAACCUAUGAGCAUUUUUCCAAAUAUGAACCCUAGCAUGAAUUAUUACUAGAAUAAGCUAAAUUAAGUUACCGAGACUCUAAAAACGUAAAGAACAUUAAAAACAAGGCUAGAACGGACUUACUAUUGGGAAAGCUUGGAAAGCUUGGAAACCCUAACCAUGGCUUCCCCCAUGCUAUAUUUUGCCUCCAUGAAGAAGAUGGACCAAUUUUGGCUUUAUUUUCCCUUUUUAAUUCUUUUAAUUACUAAAUGACCAAAAUGCCCUUAAAGGCUUUUCUUUCAAAUUUGUCCUAUUCUUGUCCAUUUUUGUCUAAACCUAAAUAUAAUGAUCUAAUUACUAAAUAAGGACCUCCACUUUAAGAACCCAUUUUAAUUAAAUCCCAUUUAUUAUCUAGAACACACAUUUUGCUAAUUUUACAAUUUAGUCCUAAUUAUCAAAUUAGGCACUUAUACAUAAAUUUUUUUCACAAAAUUUUCACACAAUUAUUCAAUCAAUGAAUAAACCUUAAAACUUAAUCAAAAUAAUUUUUUUUUUACCUUGAAUUUGUGGUUUCGCAACCACUAUUUCAUUUAGGUCCUAUUUCGGGAUGUUACAAGACCGAUUGAGCGAGAUCAGAUUCAUAUUAUUUCUUCACCGUUCUGGAUCAAAAUUGGUACGUGUUUACUAGAAUUUGAUAGAAAGGAUUUAUUACAUGCUAUUGGAGGUACUUUUGGAGGAAUAAUUAAGUCUAAAAUUAAUGGUGAUAAUUGCAGAAUUAGAAUUCACUUGGAUGUGCAGAAACCACUUAGGAGAAAGAUUUUUGUUUUAAGUGAUAACAGUGUUAAAUCGUGGAUUUCUUUCAAAUAUGAGAAAUUAUCGAUAUUCUGUUUUGGGUGUGGAAGAAUGGGGCAUAGUUUCAAUGAUUGCUUGAUGUUAAGCUCUGCAGAAAAAAACAAAGUCAAUGACGAUCUACUAUACUCAAUAGCAUUGAAAGCCAAAUCAAAUUUGAUAGGAAAAGAGAGUAUAAAGUUAAAUGCGUAUGCAAAAAAAGAUGGGUACUCAAGUUUCUUAGACAGGUAACUUGGUAAAUGAACUUGGCGUUACUGACAUGAUCGCAGAUCCUAUAAUUUUGCAAGGAAAGGUAAAAGGUGGAAGACAAUUGGCAAGCUGGCUGGAAGGGUUACAGGAGCUUGAAACAGAUAUUAAUGAGUCGGAGAUUGGUGUGGUGAAUGAUAGUAAUAUAGAGAUGGGUAAAUCCUCAGUAGCAUCCAAGAAGUCUAGUUGGAGAAGGUUUAUUCCAGCGAAUCAACCUGUUAAUUGAAGGUGCAAAAAGGUGGGUGGGAAGUGGAAAUUUCUAGAAGUUGCUGAUGAUAAAAACGUUGCAGAAGUGUCAUAUGAAGAUGGAGAAAAAAGGUUGAAAAUGGAAGAUAUGGUUGAUCGAGGUGAGGUUCUAAAGGGUGUAAUAUUGGAAAAUCCAGAACAAAAUAAUGUACCAAGCAAUUUAGAGUCGGCGACUGCCAAUAGGUCAGCCAACCGUGCACAAUGAAAAACUUAGGCUGGAAUAUCCAUGGGUUGGGGAGUCCACGGGCGGUACGGAGGCUGCAGCAUUUACUCAAACAGCAUAAUCCCCAUAUGAUCUUAAUGGAAACAAAAUUAGACAAAAAAAAACGAAUGGAAAGGGUUAGAAGGAGCUGUGGUUUUACGAGUGGAAUUGAAGUAGAAGCUGAGAGGACUCGGGGAGGAUUGUGCCUAGCAUGGAAGGGUGACGUUAAGGUUGAUGUGAAGAGUUUCUCAAAGUAACAUAUUGAUGUUUUGAUUCAGGAAGAUGAUAUCCAAGAAGAGUGGAGAUUUACGGGGUUCUAUGGAUCAUCAUAUCUAAAAAACAAGAAUACUGCAUGGGAUUUGCUUAAAAGAUUAGGCCAAGAACAUAAUCAUCCUUGGCUUGUAAGUGGCGAUUUCAAUGAAAUUUUGUAUUCUUUUGAAAAAAAUAGAGUACAAAGAGAUCAGAGGAGGAUGGAGGCAUUUAGGGAGGUUUUAGAGGAGUGUCAAUUAAUGGAUAUUGGAUAUUUGGGGGUUUGGUUCACAUGGGAAAGAGGAAAUUUUCCAGAAACAAACAUAAGGGAGAGGUUGGAUAGGAGGUCACAAAUGAAAAAUGGAUAAACUUAUUUCCAAUGAGUAGCAUUCAACACCUUCCUUAUUCAACAUCAGAUCACUGUCCCCUCCUCUUUAAUACAGCAAGUGAUACUAUUACCAAAAGAAGUCCAAGAUUUCAUUUUGAGGCCUAGUGGACCAUGGAGGAGAUGAUCGAACGAGCAAUCAAGGAAUCUUGGGAGUUUAGCUCAGGACUGUUACUUGAGAAACUAGAAAGACUACAAGUUCGAUUGGAAAAAUGGGCAAGCAACAUUAGAAGGAAGAGAGAAAGUCUAAAACGAAAGUUAACCAAGGAGCUAGAACAUCUGUUGGAGAAGGAGAGGGAUGAUGAAACGUUAGCACAGAUUAUUGACACGAAAAUUCACCUCAAUUUGGAGAUCGACAAAGACAAAUUGUAUUGAGAGCAAAGAGCUAGAGCAAAUUGGAUCCAAUUUGGGGAUAAGAAUUUGGCCUAUUUUCACAAGUGUGCUUCAGCUCGCAAGAGAGCAAAGACAAUUUCUAGGUUGGUAUUGGAUGAUGAAAGGGAAAUUACAGAGGAGUCAGAGAUUAAUAAGAAUGCCACUUGGUUUUUUCAGGAGCUAUUCACGACAAAGGCAAGUGGGGAUUCAAUUCAUUUGUUAACAGGCAUUGGAGGGUGCAUCUCUCACAAGGAAAAUGAAGUUUUAUUGUCUCCCUUCAGGGAAGAAGAAAUUUGGAUUGCAUUAAAAGGGAUAGGACCCACCAAAGCACCUGGACAUGAUGGGUUUCCAGCAAUGUUUUUUCAAAGGUACUGGCAUAUAGUAGGGAAAAAAGUUGUUGAUUAUUGUUUGGGGAUUUUGAAUAACAACGAGGAGGUUGCCUCAUUUAAUAACACAAACAUUGUGCUUAUCCCAAAACUCCUAAGGCCCACUAAACUUGUGAAUUUUAGGCCCAUUAGUCUGUGUACAGUCAUGUAUAAAAUUGUAGCGAAAACUAUAGCAAAUCGCUUGCAAGAGGUUAUCGGCAGAUGUGUCGACAAGGUACAAAACGCUUUUGUCCCAGGGUGACUUAUUUCAAACAAUGUGAUUUUAGCUUAUGAAAUUUUGCACACAUUUCAUCAAAAGCGUAUAGGGAAAAAAGGGCUUAUAGUGGUGAAGCUUGAUAUGAGUAAGGCAUAUGAUAGAGUUGAGUAGGGUUUUAUAAAAGAAAUGAUGUUAAAAAUGGGGUUUGCAAACAAAUGAGUGGGGCUCAUAAUGAGGUGUAUUUCAACAGCUUCUUAUGCGGUCAUUAUUAAUGGAAGGAGGGGCAAACUUUUUCAACCUACUAGGGGAUUACGACAAGGUGAUCCACUGAGUCCGUUUCUUUUUCUUAUAUGCAACGAGGGUCUCUCAUCGUUAAUGAGACUUGCAAAGAAUAAAGGUCUGUGGAAGGGUGUAAAAGUGAGUAAGAGAGGGCUAGAGAUAACCCACUUAUUAUUUGCAGAUGAUUGCAUGAUGUUUGGUGAAGCAACAGAAAGGGGAGCAAUGGUCUUGAAAGACAUACUCAAGGAAUAUGAAAGUUGUUCGGGUCAAUGUGUGAACUUCAGUAAAUCUACGAUUUUUUAUAGUUCGAAUACUACAGAAGAUAAAAAAGUGGAAGUAUCUUCAUUGUUAGGAGUAAGGAUCUCAAAAAAUCCCGAAAAGUAUCUGGGACUGCCUAAUAUGGUGGGCAUAAGGAAAAAGAGUCAUUCCAGAAUUUAUUAGAUAGAGUAUCUGAGCAUGUGGAAGGUUGGAGUACCAGACUGCUCUCUCAAGGGGAAAAGAAGGUUUUUAUUAAAUCAGUAUUACAGGCUAUACCAACCUAUGCUAUGUCUUGUUUCCUUUUACCUAACUCUUUGUGUGGGUUGUUUGAAAGUAUUUUUGCUAAGAUUUGGUGGAAAAGGGGUUUAGGAAGAGAGGAAUUCAUUGGUGUCAGUAAAGAUACUUGUGUUGACCAAAAAAUGAAGAAGGAUUGGGGUUCAGAAAUAUGUCCCAGUUCAAUAUAGCUCUUUUGGCUAAACAAGGGUGGAGACUUCUAGUUAAUCCGAAUUCUUUUGUAGCACAAGUUUUGAAAGCGAAGUAUUUUCCAGAAAACAAUUUUCUUAAUUCGCGUUUGGGGAAUCGAAGUUCGUAUGCAUAGCGUAGUAUAUGGGUGGCCAAGGGUUUAUUGGAGAAAGGAUUGAUUUGGAAGGUUGGUACGGGCACGAGUAUUUCAAUUAGAGAUGAUAUAUAGAUUCCAGAUUAUAGGAAUUUAAGAUUAUCGAAUGCUAAUGUUGAUUUGCGCUUUGAUACAGUUGUUGAGCUAAUCAAUAAUAAUGAAAGAAUCUGGAAUAGAGAAUUGAUAGUUAAUACCUUUCCAGAAGAUGUAGCUGAACUGAUCCUUCGUAUCCCCUUGGCGAUGGAACCCCAAUCAAACUUCCUGGCUUGGAACGAAAAACCUUCGGGCGAGUUUUCAGUUCGGAGCAUCUACAAACUAUUACAAAGUGAUGAUCCUAGAGCUUAUGUUGUACAAAAUGACUAUAGGGAUUUUUACAAAAAUCUUUGGUGCCUAGAUCUACCUACUAAGAUUAAAAUUACAAUCUAGAGAAUCGCCUAGAACUAUCUACCUACGUGGGCAAAAUGUUACUUAGGAGACUAGCAAAUAACUUAAUAUGCCUUCGAUUUGGCUCGGAAGCAGAAAUAAUGGACCAUCUAUUUCGGAAAUGUUCUUUGUCAGUGGCAGUGUGGGAAGCAUUAUCUAUCUCUAAUUUUACACAGGGGACAAACUUAGAGUUUGAGCAGUGGCUUACCAAAGUCUUUGAUUCUCUCCCUCGGGGUCUACGCAGAAUUUUUUGUGGGGCACUUUGGGCUAUCUGGGGAGAUCGUAACGCUUGGAUACAUGAAAACACAAAUAGAUCAGGUUAGUAGAUAGCAACAUAUGUUAAAAUUUUUUUAUAUGAACUUGAUGGGGCUGGUAAAAAUACCUAUAAGGCUCCUAAGGUUGAUGUUAAAUGGAAUCACCCACCUGGGCAGGCAGUAAAAGUAAACUUUGACGGGGCUUAUGAUGCGAGGAACCACCAAUCGGCGUCAGGGGUCGUGGUCAGAGUCAGUAAGGGUCAUGUUCUCAUCUCUUGCACAGAAUUUCAUAGAGGAGUGGCUUCUCCUUUUGAUGCGGAAGCCAUCACUUGUCGAAGGGCAACCCAGAUUGGUCUUGCAAUGAAUCAACCAGAAACCAUUAUAAAAAGUGAUUCUUUAACAAUAAUAAAGAAGUGCAAGGAUAUAAAUCUAGAUAAAUCGCAAAUAGGGGCUUACAUACACGAUAUUCACGAGAUGAAGUCCAGGACCAGAAAGAUAAGAUUUGUACAUAUCCGGAGAUCAGCGAAUGGACUAGCUCACACUCUAGCAACAGAAUCGCUUAAGAGGAGAGAAGAGAUGCACCUGGUAGAGAGCAUCCCCAACUACGCAGAAGGCAUUAUGAGAAGUGAGAGUGUUCAAGAACUAAAUUGAAGAAAUGAAGAGUAGAGAGGAAGGAUGAGAGUUUCAAAAUGAAUCUGAACAAUUGACUGUGAGAUUAGACCCCCUUGGUAAAGGACGUCGCCAUUAAAGAUUGAAUUGACAGAUGAGAUGGAGAGUCAGACGUCAGUUUUUCUAAUUGGGCAAGAGGGCAAUGGUUUU
rnacentral:lncRNA from 1 species